GGGGAAUUAGCUCAGUGGUAGAGCGCGGCAUUUGCAUAUUAAUAUUCACGCCUUGCCGAGGCCGGGAUUUCGAUCAUCCCAUUCUCCA
rnacentral:tRNA from 1 species